rnacentral:rRNA from 1 species
UACGAAGGGGGCUAGCGUUGCUCGGAAUCACUGGGCGUAAAGGGUGCGUAGGCGGGUCUUUAAGUCAGGGGUGAAAUCCUGGAGCUCAACUCCAGAACUGCCUUUGAUACUGAGGAUCUUGAGUUCGGGAGAGGUGAGUGGAACUGCGAGUGUAGAGGUGAAAUUCGUAGAUAUUAGGAAGAACACCAGAGGCGAAGGCGGUUUCCUGGGCCAAUACUGACGCUGAGGCGCGAAAGCGUGGGGAGCAAACAGG